rnacentral:rRNA from 1 species
CCUGGUUGAUCCUGCCAGUAGUCAUAUGCUUGUCUCAAAGAUUAAGCCAUGCAUGUCUAAGUGCAUGCCAAAUUAAGGUGAAACCGCGAAUGGCUCAUUAAAUCAGUUAUGGUUCCUUAGAUCGUACCCACAUUUACUUGGAUAACUGUGGUAAUUCUAGAGCUAAUACAUGCAAACCAGAGUUCCGACCAGAGAUGGAAGGAACGCUUUUAUUAGAUCAAAACCAAUCGGUGGCGGGCUUUGCUCGUCCACCGUUUACUUUGGUGACUCUGAAUAACUUUGUGCUGAUCGCACGGUCUCGUACCGGCGACGCAUCUUUCAAAUGUCUGCCUUAUCAACUGUCGAUGGUAGGUUCUGCGCCUACCAUGGUUGUAACGGGUAACGGGGAAUCAGGGUUCGAUUCCGGAGAGGGAGCCUGAGAAACGGCUACCACAUCCAAGGAAGGCAGCAGGCGCGCAAAUUACCCACUCCCGGCACGGGGAGGUAGUGACGAAAAAUAACGAUACGGGACUCAUCCGAGGCCCCGUAAUCGGAAUGAGUACACUUUAAAUCCUUUAACGAGGAUCAAUUGGAGGGCAAGUCUGGUGCCAGCAGCCGCGGUAAUUCCAGCUCCAAUAGCGUAUAUUAAAGUUGUUGCGGUUAAGAAGCUCGUAGUUGAAUCUGUGUCGCACGCUGUCGGUUCGCCGCUCGCGGUGUUUAACUGACAUGCUCGUGAGACGUCCUACCGGUGGGCUUAGCUCCUUCGGGGGCGGUCCAACUAAUAUCCCAUCGCGGUGCUCUUUAUUGAGUGUCGAGGUGGGCCGGUACGUUUACUUUGAACAAAUUAGAGUGCUUAAAGCAGGCUAUCAUUUGCCUGAAUAUUCUGUGCAUGGAAUAAUGGAAUAGGACCUCGGUUCUAUUUUGUUGGUUUUAAGAAACCCGAGGUAAUGAUUAAUAGGGACAGAUGGGGGCAUUCGUAUUGCGACGUUAGAGGUGAAAUUCUUGGAUCGUCGCAAGACGGACAGAAGCGAAAGCAUUUGCCAAAAAUGUUUUCAUUAAUCAAGAACGAAAGUUAGAGGUUCGAAGGCGAUCAGAUACCGCCCUAGUUCUAACCAUAAACGAUGCCAGCUAGCGAUCCGCCGAAGUUCCUCCGAUGACUCGGCGGGCAGCUUCCGGGAAACCAAAGCUUUUGGGUUCCGGGGGAAGUAUGGUUGCAAAGCUGAAACUUAAAGGAAUUGACGGAAGGGCACCACCAGGAGUGGAGCCUGCGGCUUAAUUUGACUCAACACGGGAAACCUCACCAGGCCCGGACACCGGAAGGAUUGACAGAUUGAGAGCUCUUUCUUGAUUCGGUGGGUGGUGGUGCAUGGCCGUUCUUAGUUGGUGGAGCGAUUUGUCUGGUUAAUUCCGAUAACGAACGAGACUCUAGCCUGCUAAAUAGGCGUACCUUAUGGUAUCUUGAAGGCCCCAGGCUUCGGUCGGUGGGUUUUUACUACCAACGUACAAAUAAAUCUUCUUAGAGGGACAGGCGGCUUCUAG